UAGACAGAUUAUUGUAUUCGACUGUAUUCUACUGUAUUCGUGGUCUAUUCAGGUGUUUUAAAGGGAAAGUGAAUCAAUUAACAUAAUAGACUCCU
rfam:Nicotiana attenuata strain TT chromosome 7, whole genome shotgun sequence.